CUUCUAGCAGAAAAAAAAACAAUGACAUCGGAACAAAACACUUUCAAAAACCAAACGUCAAAUCACAAUGGAAAUUCAAAGUGGUAAAAAACCCAUCAAAAUGUAGUUAAUUUUACUGGAACAAUAAAAUCAUAGUUUGCCAAAAAUUUCCGUUUAAUCAUGAAGAAAAACAAUCGUUUGUGGAUUUUGCUUUGCCUGUUACUACAAGUUGCCAGCGCCCUAGCUUGUAAAAAAAAGUCGUCGUGUCGGCCUCCGCGUUGUCCCGGGGGUUGCAAGCCGAAAUAUUGGUGAUUAUAAACGAAAAAUUUAUUUACGAGAUAAUAAAUAAUGGCGUCCUCCACUCUUAAUCUGUGGUGGUGGUUGGCGUGGCUGUUGUUGAGAACAAUUGAAGUGAGCUGCUGUAAAAAGAAGACAAUAUGUCGUCCGCCUCCUGGUGGUAAAGCCGGUUGUGGAGGACGGGGCAAAUAAUGACUACACUAAACUCUACGCGAUAUCAUUACAUAAAAUGAAGAUUUUUUUAAAGCAUUUAAAGUGAUGAAAUAAUAUUUGUAAAAUGUAUUAAAUGAAACAAAGAGAUGUA